GCUCGCUUGGUGAAAUAGGUAAACACAAUAGAUUUAAAAUUUAUUCCUUAUGCAGGUUAUCGGUUCGAUUCCGGUAGCGAGCA
rnacentral:tRNA from 1 species